GACGUAGGGGGCCAGCGUUGCUCGGAAUUACUGGGUGUAAAGGGUUCGUAGGCGGUGUGGCAAGUCGGGAGUGAAAUCUCUGGGCUCAACCCAGAGUCUGCUUCCGAAACUGCCGUGCUUGAGUGUGGGAGAGGCGCGUGGAAUUGCAGGUGUAGCGGUGAAAUGCGUAGAUAUCUGCAGGAACACCCGUGGCGAAAGCGGCGCGCUGGACCACUACUGACGCUGAGGAACGAAAGCUAGGGGAGCAAACAGG
rnacentral:rRNA from 1 species